UCUUGUAUCUUAUCUGUUGAUUUCAUUGGUUAAUAAUAAAGAAACUGCCUCGGCCCUCAUAGGACAGAAAAUUAGGUAGGCGGAGUAGACAGAGGAGAAUGCUGGGAAAAAGAAGCUGAGUGAGUGAGUCGCCAUGAUGCUCCCACUCCAGACAGACGCAGGUUAAGAUCCUCUCUGUUCCACCAGAUGAGGAUCAAGCAUUCAAACAAAUGAGCCUGUGAGACCAUUGUUAUUCAAACCACCAUACAGUGUCAGCACAUCACAUUAUGCUUCUCGGUCAAACUGUCGCCCUUCCAAUGACUGUUCCAGUUACUAUUGUUCUGCUAGAUUCAUGAAGAGCUUAUCAGGGCAAUAAUAAACUCCAGUUGCCAGCGGAGGCCUAAGAAGACCAGCUAAACUGAGAAACCUGUGGCUUAUUUAAGAAAAUGUACACAGAUCACACAUUCGGACACAAAAAAGAAAAACAGUGCUCAAAAUUACUGUAAAUUACAUAAGAAAGACGAAAGCAUGGGCUGCGAGGUAUUUGAACUAAACUAUACAAUAAGGAAAAGAAAUGAACAUCAGGAUACUGUUUAAGUCUCUGAAAUGUAAAAUAAAGCCAACUGAGUACUGAGACUGUCUCCAAAGGUAAGGAACACCUGCCCAGUGCUGGUUCCUGCACAUGACUCCUAAUGGCAGCAGUCACCUUUGCUCAGUUUCCAGCUCGUUCAUCUUGCGGUGCUUCUGCUCCAGCUGCUCCUGCAGC